AGCAGCCGCGGUAAUUCCAGCUCCAAUAGCGUAUAUUAAAGUUGUUGCAGUUAAAAAGCUCGUAGCUGAAUUUCGGGGUCGAUACGUCGGUCGUGCCUUCGGUACGCACUGGCGUUUAUCGAUUUCUCCCUUCUGACGAACCAUGAUGUCAUUAAUUUGGUGUCUUGGGGAAUCAGGACUGUUACUUUGAAAAAAUUAGAGUGUUUAAAGCAGGCUCACGCUUGAAUACAUUAGCAUGGAAUAAUGAAAUAGGACGUUUGAUUCUAUUUUGUUGGUUUCUAGGAUCGACGUAAUGAUUAAUAGGGAUAGUUGGGGGCAUUAGUAUUCAAUUGUCAGAGGUGAAAUUCUUGGAUUUAUUGAAGACUAACUACUGCGAAAGCAUUUGCCAAGGAUGUUUUCAUUAAUCAAGAACGAAAGUUAGGGGAUCGAAGACGAUCAGAUACCGUCGUAGUCUUAACCAUAAACUAUGCCGACUAGGGAUCGGAUGAUGUUUAAUUUUUAAUGACUCAUUCGGCGUCCG
rnacentral:rRNA from 1 species